rnacentral:rRNA from 1 species
CAGUCGCCGCGGGAAUACGAAGGGGGCUAGCGUUGCUCGGAAUGACUGGGCGUAAAGGGCGCGUAGGCGGCGAUCAAAGUCAGGCGUGAAAUUCCUGGGCUCAACCUGGGGGCUGCGCUUGAUACUUGGUUGCUUGAGUGGGGAAGAGGGUCGUGGAAUUCCCAGUGUAGAGGUGAAAUUCGUAGAUAUUGGGAAGAACACCGGUGGCGAAGGCGGCGACCUGGUCCUUGACUGACGCUGAGGCGCGAAAGCGUGGGGAGCAAACAGGAUUAGAGACCCCUGUAGUCCCUGUCUCUUAUAC